GAGUUUGAUCUUGGCUCAGAGUGAACGCUGGCGGCAGGCCUAACACAUGCAAGUCGAGCGGCAGCGCGGGGGCAACCCUGGCGGCGAGCGGCGGACGGGUGAGGAAUGCAUCGGAAUCUACCUCGUUGUGGGGGAUAACCUCGGGAAACCGGGACUAAUACCGCAUACGACCUACGGGUGAAAGUGGGGGACCGCAAGGCCUCACGCGAUGAGAUGAGCCGAUGCCGGAUUAGCUAGUUGGCGGGGUAAAGGCCCACCAAGGCGACGAUCCGUAGCUGGUCUGAGAGGAUGAUCAGCCACACUGGAACUGAGACACGGUCCAGACUCCUACGGGAGGCAGCAGUGGGGAAUAUUGGACAAUGGGCGCAAGCCUGAUCCAGCCAUGCCGCGUGUGUGAAGAAGGCCUUCGGUUGU
rnacentral:rRNA from 1 species